UNGGAGUAGGCAAGCACACGGAGAUGUGGG
rnacentral:piRNA from 1 species